UACAGCGGGGGCAAGCGUUGUUCGGAAUUACUGGGCGUAAAGGGCGCGUAGGCGGUGCGGUAAGUCACUUGUGAAAUCUCUGGGCUCAACUCAGAGUCUGCAGGCGAAACUGCCGUGCUUGAGUGUGGGAGAGGUAUGUGGAAUUCCCGGUGUAGCGGUGAAAUGCGUAGAUAUCGAGAGGAACACCAAUUGCGAAGGCAGCUCGCUGGGACGUUACUGACGCUGAGACGCGAAAGCGUGGGGAGCAAACAGG
rnacentral:rRNA from 1 species